UCCUCUUCGGUUUCUCUUAUGCUGAGCACAUCCAAGCGUGGAUCAUGGCUUUUAAGGAGGUGCACGCAUCCAGCUGUGUCUCUGUCACUGAAGCUUCCCUUGCAACCUCCUCUCCCUUGCCAGAUAAGCAGAGCAGGUCAGCAGAGAGCAGCUUGCCAGUGUGCUGCAUGCUUGUGAGUGCAGGUAGAAAACCUAGAAGCUGCUUCAUAGAAAACUGUCCUCCACCAUCAAAGAGUUAGAGC
rnacentral:lncRNA from 1 species